rnacentral:rRNA from 1 species
AGCGAACAUUGGCGGUAGGCUUAACACAUGCAAGUCGAGCGAGGCGUAAUAGUCGAGCGGCGAACGGGUGCGUAAUACAUGGGAAUCUACCUUGAAGUGGGGGAUAACGUCAGGAAACUGACGCUAAUACCGCAUAAUCCAUAUUGGGAAAGCGUUGCAGCGCUUCAAGAUGAGCCCAUGGCUGAUUAGCUAGUUGGUGAGGUAACGGCUCACCAAGGCGACGAUCAGUAGCUGGUCUGAGAGGAUGACCAGCCACACUGGAACUGAGACACGGUCCAGACUCCUACGGGAGGCAGCAGUGGGGAAUCUUGCGCAAUGGGCGAAAGCCUGACGCAGCCAUGCCGCGUGAAUGAUGAAGGUCUUAGGAUUGUAAAAUUCUUUCACCGGGGACGAUAAUGACGGUACCCGGAGAAGAAGCCCCGGCUAACUUCGUGCCAGCCGCCGCGGUAAAAC